rnacentral:rRNA from 1 species
UACGUAGGGGGCUAGCGUUGUCCGGAUUUAUUGGGCGUAAAGAGCGUGUAGGCGGCCAGGUAGGUCCGGUGUGAAAACUCGAGGCUUAACCUCGAGAUGUCAUCGGAAACCAUCUGGCUAGAGUCCGGAAGAGGAAAGUGGAAUUCCUGGUGUAGCGGUGAAAUGCGCAGAUAUCAGGAGGAACACCAAUAGCGAAGGCAGCUCGCUGGGACGUGACUGACACUGAGGCGCGAAAGCGUGGGGAGCGAACAGG